AAGCAAGAAAACAGGAAAGGGAUCUAAGACAACAAGGGCAACUCAGUGUUGUGGAAAGAAGAGAGAAGACAAGAUGUUGCAGUGUCAACCCUCAGAUCAGACCAGUUCCUCUGCAGCAGAGAACAGCUCAUGGUCCUACUGCUUCCCUCUGAGGAGACCCCAGUGGACUGCUGCACAGAGGGGCUGCAACAAAGUGAAAGGAACAUGAGAUGCAGAGGAUAAGCAUCUUGCCUCAAGUCAUACACAGACAACAGAGUCAGAAUUUGAAGCCUACCCGUCUUAUUCCAGACUCAGUCUUACUAUCACUCUU